UACGUAGGGUGCGAACGUUGCUCGGAAUUACUGGGCGUAAAGCGCAUGUAGGCGGAUCCAUAAGUCGGGCGUGAAAUCCCCAGGCUCAACCUGGGAACUGCGCUCGAAACUGUGGGUCUUGAGUGUCGGAGAGGAUGGCGGAAUUCCUGGUGUAGAGGUGAAAUUCGUAGAUAUUCGCAAGAACACCAGUGGCGAAGGCGGCUCACUGGCCCGGUACUGACGCUGAGGUGCGAAAGCGUGGGGAGCAAACAGG
rnacentral:rRNA from 1 species